AUAAUUUGUAGGUUGCACUCCGCUAUUGUUUUGCAUUUCGUCUGCAGAGAGGUGUGCAUGCACAUGUGUCCCUUCAUUACACGCUGGUGAACACACCUUUAAUGCACCAGAAGCAGCAUUCACCUGUCUCCCCUGAAGUCUCCAAACUGAAUCAUGCAUCUUGAACUUUCUCGACUGGAGUUCCCCGCAACCUUUUGUUAAACUUAACAUUCCUUUCCAAAGAAAACAAACAGAACCAAACAAAAAAAUAAUGGUUUGGAUGCCACUCUGUCCACAAGAAGCAAAGGAAAGCCACGCGUGAAGUCAGCAGCCCUUGGGCUGUCCAUUCCAGCACCCAUUUAUAACUGUUCUGUCUGCAGUGUCCAAGGAAAAGGCUCAUGGCAGCAGAAACAGAGACCUUACCAAGCAAUUACGGGUGAGGAAUCUUCUGCCAAAACAGUACAGACGUAACCUUUCUUCCCAUAGAGCUCAGCAUCAUCCCAUGGCCAAAGAGAGGCUUGAUAAAUACUACAUGCUGAACAAGUGACCAAACUGAUAUGAGAAUGGAAAACAACAACAACAACAACAACCCUAAACAUGAGGAAUGACAAAGGGGAGAAGUCAGGUGCUUCUAUGAGAAGCUGAGGGUACCACGCUUCCUGCCUCCUGUAGGUGGCGCCAAACUCCUUGAAGAAAAGGACAAGCAAAGUGAAAGGCUGCUGCUGUGCCUACUACACUGACAGACACACUGACUGGAGAACCCUCUUCCCUGUUGGCAGUCUCACUUCCAAGGCAGCUCUUCUUCACUGUGCUGGCAAGCUCUGGAUCAAAGAAGUGGUUCACCUGCACUGCGUUAUUUAUGAGCUGCCCUUUCCCUCUGAGUGCAAGCCUCGAAUUACGGGAUGACCAGCUCCACGGCAGAGAUCCUCAGUGUUGGGCAAAUGGAAGGUUCCUUGUGGUGUCUCUUAAAAAGAUUGGCAAAGCUCUGUUGGAAGAUGGAACCUUCAGAAUGGAGCCUUGUGGGAGGAAGUCAGGACACUGGAGACAUGCCACUGAAGAGGACAUCAGUACUCCAACUCUUCUUCCAAGGCAGACUUCUGCCAUCCCUCCCAGCCCUGAUGCUGCAAAGGAACGUGGUCAACUCACAGUGAACUGACGCUUCCGAACUGUAAGCCAAAUAAACACUUCCCCCUUAGACCUUUCUCUUGGCCAUUGCGUCACAAGAGUG